rnacentral:rRNA from 1 species
UACGGGGGGAGCAAGCGUUGUUCGGAUUUACUGGGCGUAAAGGGCGCGUAGGCGGCGCAACAAGUCACUUGUGAAAUCUCCGGGCUUAACCCGGAGCGGCCAAGUGAUACUGUCGUGCUAGAGUGCGGAAGGGGCUACUGGAAUUCUCGGUGUAGCGGUGAAAUGCGUAGAUAUCUGGAGGAACACCGGUGGCGAAGGCGGCAUCCUGGACCAUUACUGACACUGAAAAGCGAAAGCCAGGGGAGCAAACGGG